GCGGGCUGCGGCCGGGGGGCUCGUGCGCCUCCGGGGCCGCCGGGGUUGCGCCUCCCGUCGCUGCGGCCGAAGGGCUCGUGCGCCGCCAGGGUAUCCCUCUUGUUUUGCUGCAACUGCAGAGUAGUAUCCGGAUCUUGUUUUGCUGCAAAACCGGCAGGGGAAGACGCGGCUGGCCAAGUACUACGUCCCGCUCGAGGACUCGGAGAAGCACAAGGUCGAGUACGAGGUGCAUCGGCUCGUGGUCAACCGGGACCCCAAGUUCACCAACUUCGUCGAGGUCCACGCUCUUUGCACUCGCAACUGCGGAGUUCCUUUUAUCCAGAUCUUUUUUUGCUGCAAGGUACGAUAGAAGAACCGCGGGAAUGAAGUGAUGAUGGAGUCAAGCCAGAAGACGGUGAAUGUGGACACGUCUAAAAGAUGGACGGAUGGAUCCCGAUGUGCACGACCGAAGGAAGAUGCUCACCGAGCAAUUAUCCUUGAACUAACACUAACCUAGUGUUAAUCCCAGGCAAGCCUCGGAGCAUGUUCUAUAUAUUUUAAAUUUAUGCAACUUAUUAUUAUUCUUAUCUACUUGCGCAUUUAAGUUUACAGGAGUUGCUUGGAACCUUAGCUGCAUGAUCCUAGGUACCUAUGCUUGAACACUAGUAUGUGUAGGUCGCUAGUUGGCUAGGCUAAUGGUUCGGUAGAAGUCGAGUGAUUUCCUGUCACUAGCGAGAAUUAUAGGAAUUGAAUGUUUAUUACAUGCUGCAAAUAUAAGGCUCACGGGCGGGGCUAUGGUACUUGUGAUGCCCCGUUUGUUUAGUGAAAAAUGAUAAGGCCGCAGUGUGUGGUAGUGGUGGUUAAUCUUUUGAACGUACUA